UAGAGAACUUGAACCGUUGAUGCCUUAUCUAUACUCUGCAACGUCACAACUACCCACUUUGGCACCGUAGGCGACUUGAUCUCUAUAUAUCAUGCCAAAUCAGAAGCAAGAACUCGCUCAAGUACUUAUUUUUUAAUAUAGUGCACUCGAAGCUAGCAAAGAUCUUUUCUGACUUGAAGAAUAUGAAAACUCUUGCUGGCGCAGGUAUUUAGGCCUACUUCAGUUUCUUUUUUGAGAAGGGCCAACUUCAGUUGAAUAUCAUUUAUAAUUCUUUUUUUAAUAUAUGCAUUUAUGAAUAUAUUUUUCAAUAUAAAAUUUUUAGGUAUGAGCGAUCCGUCAGAAGGUUUGGUACUCCCUUCUAGUAUUGCUGAUGAUGAUGUUGGAAAUGACAAUCUUGAUCUUAUUGUUAUUCCUCAAUAUGGGAGAAAUCCUGAUUAUUAUGGGUAAGUGUCUGCAAUCUGGAUGAUGAUAUAUGUAAUUAAAUAAAAGGAUGGGUACAGUUAUUACCUAUCAAUCAUAAGAGUGUCAAUUUAGUUCAGUUCACUAAUAAAAAUCUCUUAUACAAGAGAUUAUCUUUGUUUGCGUUCAUGUACUUUGUCUUCUUUAAUUAAUAAAUAAAAUUAUUGUGUAUCAAUGUGUUGAUUAAAUUAGUCCAUUAAUAGAUAUAAAAUCAUUUGAAUUUGUCCACAUAUUAGUUUAGUUAAUUGUGCUCUCUUUCUUCUUGAAUAUUUGUCAAACAAAGUCUACCUAUUAGUUAGCUAAUAAUCGCAGCUCGCAGGGAACCAAGAUCUUUAUAAUUAAUUACGAACGUUUAUGCUUCUUAAAUGGCUUGUGUCAUCGUGAUAAUGCCAUUACAACCUGUUAUAUAUAUAUAUAUAUAUAUAUAUAUUCAAAAGCAUUCCAACUCUAUGAACCUUCUAUUACACAAUUUUCAAAUGGUAUAAACAUCUAUUUUAAUUAGAGUAAAAUGUUGCUUGUUAGAAUGGCCCGUGAGUCAAUCUAAUUUGCGCUGGGACAAAUUAAUAGAACUUUAAAACUUUUCGACGGGUUUUGAUAAGACUUUAACUUGUCAAACCGUGGGUUGCUGUACGACGGGACUUGAAAAAAAACAUGUUGAGUUCUUUAUAAUUAAUGUUUAAAAUAUUUCAUUAAUUUUAGAGAAUAUUAAAAUAAAAAAUAAGUAAAUUCACGUUGAUCGAGAAAAAUACUGAAAUAUCGAUGCGUGUUUAGGACGAUAUAGAGGAUCUAUUUGAUCACAUUUAAUUCGCAUGCAACAGUAAUUCUGUCACAUUCUAUCACAGAUUCACGAAAGCUUCUCAUCAAAGUAUAGAAACAGAAAACUGUAAAAUUUAACGGGGGAAAACCUAUUAAACAAGAAAACAAAGCAGCCCCUCCGUACUGUGAAAUUACUUGCAAGCCAGUUGCGGUUGAGUUUGGGAAUGAGGGGCUGAGUUUGAGAUAAAUGGAGGGGAGAUAAGUUUGACUAAAAGGGGAUUCACAGGAAGACUUUAAGGGAGAAGAGACGAGUUUGAGAAAAAUUAGGAUAGAGAUUUAGAGGAGAUGAUUUGGGGUCUCAAAUUAACUAAUCCAUUCUUACAAUCACACAAACCGAUGGAAACCCAUUCAGAUUUUGAAAUAAUGAUGGUGACAUUAGUAGCUUAAGCCAAAACAUAAUUUAAAAAUAACAUAUAUAUAUAUAUAUAUAUAUAUAUAUAUAUAUAUAUAUAGUCAUUCUCUAGUGUAGGUAUCUUCAUUUAUUUUUCAUGCGAACACAUUUUAAAACCGCGGAGUUUAAGAGAGUUAGUUUUUAACUCUUUAAAACCGCAUAGUUUAAAAGUUUAUCCGUAUUAAAAAAAAUACGGGCGUCCGCACCUGAGAAUGAUUUUAUAUACACACACGUAUAAAGUAAUUUUUUAAUUGUGAAUUAUCAACCAUAUUAAAGUCAAGAGAAAGUUUAUAAAAAAAACCACCGACGCUAAUACAACGUAUUUUGUUGUGUAAUGUUUUGAAAUAUUCCUGCAAAUAAAUGGAUACUGAAAAUGAUCAUAUUAUUUUUAGUGAUUAAUGAUUCUUAUCGAGUAGAUUCCUGAUCUAUGAAAUGACUUACAUGAGCAUAUUCACCCUUUGGGAGUGGGAAACAAGUAAAAUUAUGUGUGCUAGAGGAGCCAAUAUCGAAGAGUUUAAGUCUAUGCUUCUCGUAAUCAAUUUCCAUAUCAAAACAAAAUGGAGUUGAUGAUAAUCUUGAUUUUACUAAAAAAAAAAAGGAAUAAUAGAUGUCUCAUUAGAAAAUAUUAAUGUGCCAUAUAUAUAAUAGUUCAAUCAUGUAAAAAUACUUGAAAAAUUAAUCUUGAGAAUGCAAAAUAAGAACUAUAGCAAGCACCUCUACAGGCAUAAAUUAAAAGAAUUGCAACGUGUACAUGAAGACUGCUAGACAUAGAAAAAAGUGAUAAAAAAAAAAACUGAUAUAUGAUAAAGAGCAUAAUAGAGAUAGUUGUUAUUAGGGAUGGUAAAAUUCUCCAUGGGUUGGGGUUCUCUAGGGCUCCAUGAUACAAACUCUUAAAAUAAUUAAAAUUAUUUAUUUUAUUUUAUGGUAUUAGUUAAUUUUGAACUAGUCAAAAGUAGUUGCACUUAUUUUGUGGAAUUACAUGUAAGUAAUGGAGCAUUAUGUGAAAACAAGCCCAAUGUUACUAAUUUUUAGGUUGUAAUCUUAAAUAAGCUUUAUUAUAUAAAGCUUGAUGUUAGUCAAUGAAAAGUAUCAUGAGUUAAUUAUUUGGCAACAUAAAAGUUGUAAUUGGGAGUUUAUUGGUUUCUCGAAUAACUAGUAUUUAUUUGGAGAUUUGGGUUUCUUCAAAUUAAUCCCAUUUGUCAUCUAAUUUUUUCUGUUUCAUUUGAUUUCUCCUUAUAAACAGUAGCAUUCGUAUCAUUCCACCCCAAAUGGGGUGAAUUUUGAAUAAUUUUUGGAGAAUGAGGUGGGGAAUUAGAGAAAAAUAAUCUCCAAAUUCUUAAUAAUAUGGGGUUUGAUUUUGUACUUCCCACUCCACAGUCCACACCCACUCCAGUCCCCAUUACAUAUAAAUAUUUUUUAAUUUUUAUUUAAUAAAUUUUUUAUCAAUUACAAUGUCAAUUAAUAAUUUUUUUUAUUUUCACUUGAUAUAAAUGAGUUAUGACUAAAAGAAAACCCUAUAAUAUAAUUUUUAUUCAACCCUAAAACAUUGUUAUAUUUUCUUUUCUAUCUUAAAAUACCACUCUCUUCAAACAUUUUUCAAUUUUGAUAUUAUUUUAAGAUAUUGUUUCAGACAUUUGGAGAUUUUUUUAAAUAAUUUGAAUACUUCAUAAUAUAGUAAUGAUUUUAUUGAACUCUUUAAUUUUUAAUUUAUUGAAAUCAUAUAUCUAUAUCUACUAUAAAAUAAAAAUAAAUGGGGAAUGAGGAGGGAUGGGGAUGGGGAUGAGGAAAUCAUUUCUCAUGUGGGGAUUCCUUAUACCCACCCCACUAAAUUCAUUGAGAAAUGAAGUGGGAAUUAGAGGCAAAAUUUUUAACACGGUGGGGAAUGGGAUAGCCUUCCUACCCCCACCCCACCCCAUUGCCAUCUCUAGUUGUUAGAUGGUGGAUAAUUUUACAUAAAUUAAUUGUAUUAAACUUAUUAUCCGAAUAAAAUUGUUUUAAAUAAAAUUUUAAUAAAUGAAAUUUUGGAAAUAUGUAAUAUUAUUUUUAAUAAUAGUGAUACACAAACUCGUCAAAAUUAAUUUGUCAAUCAUCUGUAAAUUUUACCAACUCUAUAGUUCAAUUAACAUUUUUCUAAACCUCAUUUUAUAUUUAUCGCUUUUGAAGAUUAAAAUAUCAUGAUUUAUUAUGUCCAUAUAAGUAAUUUGAUAACCUCAUUUCAGUAUAUCAGAAUAUCAAGAUUUAUUAGGUCUUUACUUGCGCUUUUGGCUGCAAGAGCCUUCGCCAAUUGAUCAUUUUAUGGGGUUUGACAUAGCCACAAAAUUAAGAUAAAGGUUCAAAGACAGUAUUACAGGUUCAUCCACCAUAAAACAAAUGAUAUUUUGAAAAGAAAAUUAAGACCCUAUUAGUUAAUUUGUCUCGUAAUUAAUUAUUGUCGACAAGCCAUCACAAACUUUCUUCAAUUAUUCCUACUUUUCUAAAAAAAUCUUUAAUGAUAAAAUUAUUUGCACUCUAAAAAUUAUUCUUUAACAUUAUUUUAAUAAAUUAUUUUAUGAGUGAUGAUACAGCCACAAACUCUUGUACAAACUUAUUUCGUACAAACUGAUGUGGCAUCAAUUCAUUGGUUGAAUGAAAAUACAAAAUAAUGAAAAUAAAUCAUGUGGGCCAAGAGAUAUUUAAUUUAACCAAUUUUAUCAUGCCACAUCAGUUUGUACAAAAUAAGUUUGUACAAGAAUUUGUGGCUAUAUCAUUACUCUUAUUUUAUUACAAAAAUACUCAUCAUAUGAAUUAUUGACAAGGAUUCUCUCUUAUAGGCUAAUAUAAUAUAAUUAUUCUGAAUACUCAUAUGGCAUACUCACUAUUCAAUAUAUAAUUUCUCUUGUCAUAAAUCCUAAAAAUCUUAUUUUCAAUCUCUUGAAUAAUGUUUAAUUAAACAAGGAGCAAAUCAAUACUAAAAAUACAUUUUGAACAUAUUUUUGCUUGUUAAUUUUUUUUAAAAAGUAGUUUUUUUAAAUAAGCAUUUAAUUCAGAAGAUGCAUGCUUGGAGUUAUGAUUUUGGAUGUAGAGAAGAUUUGAUCGGAAACGAGAAAUGGCGGCAGCAAGCUUAUUGAAUCGUCGUUCUGCGAAGAAGAGUUUGCUUUUUGCUGUUUCUAGUGGAAUGUCACUUAAUAAUCAAAACAGGCUUCUUCUUCUUUCUUUUUUAAAACCUAUAGCUUUAUGGUUUAUGCUUAGUAACAAAAAAAGAGUCAAAUAUCAGUGGUCUCUAUAACUAACAGUGAGCAAGAUUCGAUUUUGAAAAAUCUUGUACCAAUUUGCUUUUGUGCUAUUUUAUAUUCAAUUGACGAAAGAAUUAAUGCUGUAACUGCUACCCUUGUGUCGAUGACUACAUUAAUAAUGCCCCCAAAUUAAAGCCCACAUAAAAUUAAAUAGUAUACUCUAGCAAAUUAAAUUAAGUCAUAUUGUAAGGUAUCAAGAAUUAAAUAUUCUAUUAGCAAAGUCAAAACGUGAAAUCUAUCCAAACCAAGCCCACCGGUUUGUCCAUGAAAAUUAAUUAUUUCUUCAUUAUUAUCGAAUUAAUAUCUUCACUUGAUAACAUGGUUUACGAGGUAGGUCGCACAUUAAUUAUAUGAUUACUUCAUAGUUAUCCAAUAUCUUCGUACACCUUUUAUGACUAACCUAUUGGUCUAUCCAAAUUAAUAGUCACUUAAUUUAUUGUGGUCCAAUAUCAUCACUUGAUAAGAUUAAAGCAUAUAUACCCACAGCCCCCUAUAUGCCUCUUAAUUAUAUAUCAUGACUUUGUCCAGCAAGAGAGAAAGAGAGAAAGGGUAGGACUCUUUUCGAGCUUUUACAAAUCUACGGUAGAAUAAGAUGAUUUAAGUAAAAAUAAUUUAAAAAAAAAAAACCAAAUACCAAAAUUAACUUUCAAAAUUUUAAAAUUAUUUUCUGCCAUCUCAAAAACAGUGUCAAAUGAAACCUUUUAUCCAACUAAAAAAAAAUAGUGAAAAGUAGUGGGAAUUUUAUUAACCGCACAAAUCAUAAGUCAAAAAAUAUGAACAAAAUAGUUUGUUCUUCGGAACUCUAAUAAAUUGGAGGCAUGUGCUGCCCGAAACCAAAUGAUGCAUCAAGAUUUGUUCUUUGAAAAAUAAAUUAAUUUGUUAGUAGAUAGUUGCGUGUUUUACUUUCAAAAAAGGCUAAAAUAAUUUCAGGCCUUGGAUGCAUCUAACGGCUGAAAUCAUAAUAUCAAGAUUUAUUCUUAAGUCUUUGUUUGAUAUCAAGAUUUUUGAUUCAACCGCACAAUUAAGUUAAAGUUUCGUAUGCAGACUAUUAGGGAUUCAUCCAGGUAUGCAACAAACAGAUGAAAUGAUAUUUUGAAAAGAAAAUUAAUUUGUCUUGUAAUUAAUUAUUGCCGGCAAACUUUAUCUCAAAUCGCACACUUCUUUUCAAAUAUUAUCUACUUUUCUAGACUCUACGAUUACUGUCUACAUUUUUCAAUGAAUUAUUGCUCGGUAACUAGUUUUUUUACAAUCAUUUUUUUCGCGGACCAGAUCGUGUUUCGCACUAAUUGCAAUCAUUUAACCAUAUAUGGCCGUUAAUCGUACCCAGCCAUUGCGCGAAAAAACAUCAGCCGUUGAUCGUUUAUCUGUACAAUUUUUUAAUAUUUAUAAUAUUUUACUUAUAAAUCAUGAUUUUCCUUAAAGUUGUGGAUUCCUCCACUGAAUAGAAAUGGUUGUGAUUUAUUUGUCAAUUCAAAAGUUCCAACAGUAUUUCAAUGUUGUGCAUUUUCAGCUAAUUAGUCAAAGAUAAUCUAGUGCAUCUUCAGAAUUUUUAUCCCUAAAUUUACCAUUACACAUUAUUUCAACAACCUAUCUACUUUAGGGUAUCAAGCUCUUGUAGAAAUAAAUGACCAAUCACCAAGUUUCAAAACCAUGGUGUGGACAUAUGUUAAGCAAUUCUUUAAACCCAUCCCAACAUUGGUAUAAUGUUUCUCCAUUUUUUUUAGUGAAAUAAGUGAUUUGCCUUUUAAAAGAAUUGGUUCUAUGAGGUGGAAAGAAUUUUUUCAAAAAUUAUUCUUACAUGUUAUUCGAAGUUCUUAUUGAUUCAGAUCUAAAGUUUUAUAGCCAAGUUUUAGCUUUAUUUUUUAAUGAAAAAAGAAAAAGUUUCAACCUAACUAUGUUCAUGCUACAAUUUUGGUUUAUAUAUGUAUUACAAACUUCCUCAAAGAUGCAAGUAUGGAUUCUCAGAUUCUAAACCAUGAAAUGUUGGUAAAAGUUGGAUAAUACAUGGUUUAAAGUUGAAUCGAGAAGCCUCUGGAGGUAGGGGUGGCAAAUAUACCCGCCCAGUCUGGAUCCGGACCGUACUCGGGCGUUUUGGGCAUCACUUGAUAAACCCAGAACCCGGAUUUUAUUUCAAAAAAUUAUUAGAAAAUAUAUAUUAUUUUAAAUAUUUAUAUUUAUUUGACUCAUUUAUUACACAUAUAUAAAGUUUUAAACACUUAAAGUUCAUAAUUUCAUGUCAAAUUUUAUUAAAAAUAAAUUUAAAACUUAUAAAAUUACCAAAAAAAUACACAUAUAAUAUUAAAAAAAUAUAAAAUUCGGGUACCCGGAUUAAAGCCCAGCACAACCCGGCCCGGGCAUCUAUGCAUCCGGGUCGGGUCCGGUCAUUGCGAUACCCGGACCCGGGCCAGGGUUUUGCCAACCCUAUCUGGAGGAAAUACUAUACAGCUCCGAUUCUAGUUGGAUUCAUGUAGUCUCUCAAGAUUCUUCGUCGAUUCUGAUCACGUCCAGGUUGAGACUGAUUGUCUCCCUGAUAAAUUUGAGGAUUAGGUUCGCCCAAAAGUUUUUCAUCUUGGAUUUCGUCCAUAAUUAGUGAUGGAGAUUGAGAUCUACGAAUUAACCUGCCACCUGAAGUUCGAGACCAAUGUGUCAUGAAAUGGUUAUAUCACAAAGGUAAUAUUCAAAUAAAUUAGUAACAAAAGAACUAAAUGAAAAUUGCACAAAACAAAAAUAAAAAUUAAAUAUGCAAAUAAUAAGAGGAUGAAUACCCCGAAAUCUGGGUUGUGACUUUUGAUCAUUGUCGCAGCAUGAAGUUUGUUGUGACCUCUAGUUCACAUGCACUCUGUUUUUGUAGUUGCCGCAUGUCAAUGUUAUUGUAGUUCCCUUUUUAGGCUAUAUCUUGUCUAGUUGUCUUUGUGCUCGAAAGUGUGAACUUAGUCAGCGUCGAUAAAUGGAGUGCUUUUGCAUGUUACUUUUUAAUGAAUGGUGGAAACAAUAAUUCAUAAGCAUCUUAGCAUAACAUUUUCGCUCAAUUAAUGCAUAUCAAUAGCGGUUUACUCAUGCUCUGUAUGUGACGCAUUUCUAGGAAGCUUAUAUAUGGAGUUCAUUCGUUUCUGAGGUAUGCUAGAUUUGCAUGGGAAAAAUGAUAAUUUUGACCUGUUUAUUGUCCCUCAAUAUGGGAGAAAUCCUGACCAUACUGGUUAGGUACAUGUAAUAUUUGUUUAUUGCCCUUUAAUAUGGGAGAAAUCCUGACCAUACUGGUUAGGUACAUGCAAUAUUAAUCUUUCGUUUUAUGUUUAAUUAAAUAAAAGGAUAGGUAAUGUUAUUACUUAUGAAUCAUGUCAGUGCCAUUUUGGUUCAGUUCAACUAUUAAUAUCUCUUAGAAUGUUAAAGAAAUUAUCACUGUUAGUGUCCAUGUACUUCGUCUUUUUUAAUAAAUAAAAUUAUCACGUGUCAAUGUGUUAUUUGUUUUGAUCUUUCAACAAAAUUCAGUUUAAUUAAUUAUGCCCUCUUUCAUCACGAAUGUGUGUGUGUAUAUAUUUGAAAAAACUAAAACAAUGAGGGGCACUAUAACUUUUUAUUUGCCAAACAUGGGAUUGUGUAAAAUUAAUACAAUGAGAGGCUUUAAUACAACAACCAAACAAGCUCUUAAGGGAAAAGGACACACACCCCCAUGCCUAAUAUUUAAUAAAGCGACAGAUAUAUUUGUUAAUUUAUAAAGUUUAUUAACUAAUAAAUGCCAAAUAUACUAAUUUUUAUUGUAGUAUAAGCCCAAGUUCAUGGUAGAGAAAACAGGCCUAGGCCCUUUGUAGGAUUGUCCAAGUUGGAACAGGUCGAACUUAAGACUUUUUUAACAAUUCAAUAAAAUAAAACAAUAGCUAAAAGGUAAAAACAACUUAAGUUAAAGAGGAUUUUAUUAAUUUUUUCUCUGUUCAACUAAUUAUACAACAAUAUUUAUUUAAAAAAAAUUGAAAUAGCCUCCAACAAAAAAAAUGAAUUUUACAAAAAUUUACAGCCUACAAAAUGUAGGUUCAAUUGUUCAACAUAGCAUUACUAUAACAAUAAUAAUAAUAAAAGACAUAAUUAGCAUCAGAUUCCAAAUCCAAUAAUCCAAUUUCCAUAAACACUAUCACACUAACAUUUUUUUUCUUUCUUAUUUUUCCAUUCCAUUUUUUUCAAACUUAAUUCGUAAAUUAAAUUUAAUUAUUUAAAGAAAGAAUACGUUUGAGAUUUGAUGCACAAAACAUAUAUAAAUUAUUCAUAAUUUCAAUAUUAGGAAAUAAAUGUUUAGGGGGAUUGAAUUGAUGUCCAAAAUUCAAAUGGCCUAAAUAUGACCCCUUUAUAUAUAUAUAUAUAUAUAUACAGUUAUAGAAUAAUUUUUCAAUGCUGAAUCAUUGACUAUAAAGUCAAGACAAGGUAAAAAAAAAAAAUCAACGUUAAUACAACGUAUAUUGUCGUAUAAUGUUUUGAAAAAUUCCUACAAAUAUAUGGAAACUGAAAAUGACCAUAUUAUUUCUGGCGAUUAAUGAUUCUUGUGGAGUAGAUCCCUGAUCUAUGAAAUGACUUACAUGAGCAUAUUCACCCUUUGGGAGUGGGAAACAAGUAAAAGUAUGUGUGCUAGAGGAGACAACAUUGGGGAGUUAAGUCUGUGCUUCUCGUAAUCAAUUUCCAUAUCUAAAGAAAAUGGAGUUUAUAAUCUUGCUUUUACUAACCUCGUUAACUACUUUGUGAACAAGUUUUUGAUAGACAAAUCUCAAACAUCCAGUGUUUGAUUUUAAGGCCUUUAAGUUUAUGUACUUUCCAUAUUAGGAUCAAUGUCAGAUCUUUAACAACUUUUUUAGAUUUGUAAGUACCUUGGUAUCUUUAGGCCUUCAAUUAUUAAUUUCAGCAAAAAGGUUGAGAAGGAGGAAUUUCUUGAAGAUACGGAGCUUUAUCGUGAUCCUACCACUACACUUCACUAGUAAUAUACUCUCUAAGAUUCUUUUAUUGACAUUGUUUGUUCAAUCCCUUCUUAACCUUCUAGGAUACGACUUUCCUCUUAUUAUACUAUUAAAACAUUUAAUCCUUGAUAUAAAAACAUUUUUAUAGGCCCGAAGUCAGUCCUACAUCAAAAUGCAGAUCUUCAGAAAUAAAUGUAAACCUCUGUUGUUUCAAAAAUUUAAUUCAUGUUAUUUUUCUUUUAAAUUUAUGGUGAUUUGCAGUUCAAGAGUAGUCGUUGGCAUUGUUAUGAUACUAUGAUAGCAGUGCAUGCAGCAAAAGAAAAACAAGUAGCCGGGUAACUAAGCUCCUUGAUUAGUUAUUUUAUUUUUUGUUUGCCUCUAGUCUAACUACAAUUGCCAAUUGUAUGCCCCAAAAUGGUUGCAAUGGUUACAUCUCGAGGGGAGACUUUCGUAGUGAACUUCAACAUUGAAUCCAUAAUCAGAUAGUUCGACUGUAAAGAUUUCCAGCAAAUCACCAUGAAAAUCCACCUUUAUUAAAAUCUUGGCAAAAUGGCCAUACUUUUUCUCUCUUAUUGCCUGAUGAAUUUGCAAAGAAAUGCCAACUUCUCUAGCCACCGUCAUCAGAAUUCUAGGAUGCCAGUACUCCACUCUGGGAUCAUAUGUUCUUAAGGACGUGACUGGAUAGUUGGCUCACAAAGGUUGAAAUUCCAUCACCAUUUGUAUAAGCGAAAGAACCCCUGAGGUAGUUUAUAAUAUUGGGGCAAGAGAAAACAUUUGGUGAAAACCAUCACCUAUAAACUCAGGAAUAUUCAUGUUGUAUUAUCAAGAAUCAAUAGCAUAAUUAUGCGGAAGCGUAUCUGAAUUCAUAACGCUUAAUUCCUCUCUAGAGUAGCGUGGUUGGCCUUUCAGAUCUACACGUUCUCCUAUAGAGUCCUUUAGUUCUCUCUACGCUCUCUCUCUAAUAAUGAGAUAUCAUAAAGAAUGGAAAGAAUACAUGUAACCUGAGGACCAUAACCACUUAUAUAGACAACUUAUUCCAGUUGUCACAUGAUAUUCAUAAUUCUGCCUAUCAUAGAAUUAGAAUAUUAUUGGGUCCUACACAUUAAGGCUCACACUAUAUUAGAUACAUUAAAGCUCAUAAUACCGAAAAUCUAAAUAGAUCACUUUUAAUUGAGCUUAACCUUAUACAACAGUCUGCAACACAUAAUUAUUCACAUAUAAGCCCAACGUUGGAUUAAGGAUCCAACAAUAUUGAAUUAAAAAAUCCAACAAUCUCCCACUUGGGCUAUAUGUGUAACCUUAUAAUUAUGUUUUGCAAAAAUAACCAUAUGAGCUCAACCUUACUGUCAUUAUAGAAAUAUAUAUAUAACUAAUCCGGUCCAUAAAUCAUACUAACGUAAGAUUACCCGUACCUCUAGCUUUUACACAAUAACUACAGAACAAUUAUAUUUCAACAUAAGUAUAAGAAAAGGUGCACGCAUAAGUACACAGAAUGGACUGUAGACCGUAAUAUCCGGAUUCAUAAGUACAAGAGGCAGAACUACAGAACAAUUAUAUUUCAACAUAGCAUCAUUAUCUAAGAAAAGGUGCACGCAUAAGCAUUAUACGAUGAAGCCUACUUGCUUAAUUUAUAAUGGAAGGAAAGCCAACCAUGAUGACUCGUCUGCCAUAAUGUUUAAUGUCAGAGAAAAAGAAAAAAUUAUUUUGCUAAUAUGCAUUCUUCUUAGUUCUAAGACUAUCUAUCAAGAAAAUUGACUUCAUUAAGAUCGUUGCCUUUCAAAGAAUUCAUCAACUGUACAAAAAGCAACUUCGAACAACCAUUAAAUGCUCUAUUGAAAAAUCAAUAUCAUAGGUCCGCACGUUUAAUAUUUUCAUUCCUGGCAACAGAGAAAAAGACUGCACCUCUCCCAGAGUCACGUCCUAAGAUAGUUGUCCAAAGCCAAUGCAGUUUCUACCACGUCUUAUGUCUCGACGAACAUGAGCUUAUACUGCAUUAUUUCCUGCAAGAAGAAGGCCAUCAGGUUUCCCUCCCAAGAAAACAUGAGCUUCUACUUAAAUGUGAAUUAAUUAUCAAGUUAUAACAGAGAAAAACAAAGAAAAGAUGCCAAAAUGUUUGAAGACAGACUGAUAAACUAAAAGGAGACGAGUGGCAAUUAUUUCAUCCAUGUACAAGUAACUGAGAAAAAAACAUACAAUCCCAUCAGGGACAACGGAGGCCAUCUCCACCAAGAGCUUUCCAUAAUUAAUUUAUAAACAUACAAUCUCAUCAGGCUUUAUGGCGAGUGAAGCUUCACGGCAGCUAAGCUGCAACCGAAAUGUCAAAUAAACAAAGAGAUCAAUGGAGAUUUUAGCAUAAAAAUUAACAGCUUGUGAAACAAAGAUGACAGCAUAACAAUAUGCACUAUUUUUACAUCAGAAGCCAUAGUAUUGCAUCAGCAGUGGAAGGCGACAACUAACUAAAGAAUGAUGAAACUCAUUUUUCAUAGCAAAAAUAAUGAUAUUGAAUCCAAGCACAAUAAAUAUUAUUAACUUCAGAUAAGCCAUCUAGCUAAAAUAGCAAAAUAAAUAUGUUAGCACUCUAAUAGCUCAAGAUACAGAGCUACCAAAGCACUGCCCAAGAUUUCUUGCUCACAAACUGCCUCAACUAUCAGCUUUAUGCCAGCUGAUAUACACUCCAGUUUACACAGAUUAAAAAGCCACGUGUAUAACGGCCUCAUAACAGAUUUGAUUCCCUUCUCACGUGCGUUUUCACGUGCUUUACUUAAACCAGCUUAAAACGAUCUUGGAUGAUGCCGUUUUAAACAGUAAGUUGAGCACAUGUUUAGCUCGUGACUUCUUGAGGCAUUUGAACCCAAUCUGAAACGCUUCCGUUUAACCCUUCAAGUUUUGUAUUCAGCAGAUUAAUCCACAAAAUCAAAUCUGGAAACCGAACGAAGGCCAUUCAAAUUUUUUCGGAAGACCUUAAAAUUGAACAUUCUGGAGGCAAAGGGAAGUAAAACACGUUCCAAAAUUUCGUACCUGUCUGUAAAACCUCCGUCAAAAUAUGAACAAAGUUUGCCCUGUAGCUUUUUCCAUCUUUUUUAUUUUUUACAAGACCAAAACUGGAUAACCGAGGGUCACCAUCCUGCGAUGAAAUGAAAAUUAAUUAAUGAACCUGUACAAUCAAAUGCAUAUGAACAUGCUGAAAAAUCAUAUGAAGCAGCCACAAGUUCCCUGACCUAUAUAUUUCUCCAGUAAUUAAAAUUAUUCUUAUAGAAGCAAUGAAAUGAUUAGCAGACUUUUACCUUUCAGUUUGCGUACAAGUCCCCUUACCCAUGUAGUCAUCCUCACUCUUUGCAUAAAUGUAUUGCAACUCCAGCAAUGACCCUAAUCUUGUAAGAACAGGAAUGUGUAGCAAUCGAUAGUCUGGUGAUUCACUGCCAGCUUAGCCAUUCUCAUUUCUCUGACCCUGUGGUUAUUUCUUAUGUUUAUGCUAGCUGCCUUAUGUCUAUUCGAGAGGAUCUAUGGGAUGCCGUAGUGACAUACUUUCAUAGCCAUGAUCGCCCUUGGAUUGUUGGUGGGGGACUUUAAUGUUGUUCAGUCUGUUUCGGAGAUUUCUGGUGGGCAUAACCAACCCUAGGGAGCUAUUGAUGCUUUCAACCUAACAUUGGUGGAUUGUGGGUUGGAGGAUGCUGGGUUCGUUGGUAGCCCAUAUACUUGGACUAAUGGACAUGCUUGGAGGCGGCUUGAUCAGGUGGUCUGUAAUGCUUGUUGGUCUGAUUUUUUCUCGUCGUUUCAGGUUACUCACCUGAACCGUACAGCUUCGGACUAUUCUCCUCUGCUCUUUUCCUGUGACAAGGGUGCGACUAAGGGACCUCCCAGAUUUAAAUUUUUGCAUACUUGGCUCAGACAUCCGGGUUUCUUUGAUGUUGUGACUCAGUCUUGGGAUUCUCCAGUGGUUGGUUUCGGGAUGCGGGCAUUCCAACAGAAGCUUGUCCGUCUGAAGAAUUGUUUGAAAGCUUGGAACAAGGAAGUGUUCGGCAAUGUCUUUUACAGAGUGAAAGAAGCUGAGAAGGACAUAGCUCGGAAGAAGAGGCAGUACGACCUUUCUGGUUCUGUGGAGGAUAGGGUUAUGUUUUCAGAGGCCAGGGCUCAUUUGCAGCAUGCCUUGUUGUGCGAGGAGAGUUUCUUGAGACAGCAGUUCAAUGUCCGAUGGGUCCGAGAGGGUGAUGCCAAUACCCGCUUUUUUCAUGCGAUAGUUCAUUUUUAUCAAUGUCCUUUUGAUCAGAAAUUCAUGAAGAUUUCAUCCAUUAGUUUUUUUGUGGCCCAUUUAGUAGUGGCUGCAUUCUGUUUGUUGAAAUGUCUUAGAGAAGCUUGCAAGUUGCAAUACUAACAAGCUUAAUGAGCUGGAGAUAAAGUGGCAGUGAGCUGGAGUUAAGCUGACAUGGAGCAUGAAUCAGCAUUGUCUUAAGAGCAAUCCAGAGUUAGUUAGAGAGAAAGUAAAAGCAGAGGAAGAAGACAAUGAUCAUGUGAUAUAUGUACAGUACAAUAGCAGUAGCCGUUAGAUCAAUUGAUUUACAACCAUUACACCAUAAGCUUGCUACCCCAGCUAUGCACUGAUGCAUUAAUAGAAAAGAAAGUGAAUGAAAAAGAUGUGCUGUGCUCAAUCAAUUAAUCCUUUUGCGUCUGCCACCAAAACUUAAGGUAGUUAGAAAUUUUUUAACUAGUCAAAAUACCAAUAUUUCCAAAAGCUUUAAGCUUAUGGGACAACCAGUUGCUCAACAUCGACCUUGAUAUCAGAACCAAUCCGGAUGAGGAGUCAGGUGUUCGAAUUCCAUCAUUCAAAAUUGCCUUAUAAUUCCCGCGCUUUCUUGGCAAGAAAAGGCAGUGGAGGCCUUUUAUUAACCAUAAGGGGUGGAUUAAUUGAUGGAUUAAAAUCUUUUGGCAGUCAUUAUUUUACUGGUUGGAAUUUCUUUAUGUUCUACUAUUAAUGAAUUUUCCUUGCCAUUUUUAAGUCUGUGAUAUAAGUGUUCAUAAUGGUGCGUUGUCGAUGUAGUUCUCUCCAGCGAAUCAUGUGUUGAUGCACAUAUUGAAAAAGAGGUAAAGAAUCUAAAUUUCCUGCUUCACAGUGUAGAUGAUAGAAUUUUUCAGUUUAAAACGUGAGGAGUUUUAGUUCACAUGCACUCUGUUUUCGUAGUAGUCUUAAGAUAUGUUGUCACUUGUCAGUGUUCUUGUAGUUCCCUUUUAAGACUACAUCUUGUCUAGUUGUCUUUGUACUCAAAAGUAUGUAGUUAGUGGCGAUAAAUGGAGUGCUUUUGUAUGUUACUUUUUAAUGAAUGAUGGAAAAAAUAAUUCAUAAGCAUCUUAGCAUAACAUUUUCACUCAAUUAAUGCAUAUCAACAACGGUUUACUGAUGCUCUAUAUGUGACUCAUUUCCAGGAAGCCUUUAUCAGGUAUGCUUAACUCAUUGAAAACUUAUUAUUUUUCAUGUUUGGGCCAUCACAACAUUGACAUUGUUGAUGCUGUUCGUGUCUUUCUCACUGUACAUAAGAAUGUAAACUCUUUUUGGAAGGUAUAAGAUCAAGAUUCUGUUUGAAAUCUUUACCAUCAGCUUGCUUUUCAUUUGGUGGAUACUACUAUCGAUAAUGUCAUUUUUGUCAUCACAAACAUAACGCCUACUCUUCAUCUGUACAAAUCACCAUAAAUUUAAAAGAAGAAUAGACAUUAAUAAAUUUUUGGAGCAACAAAAGUGUAUAUUAACUAAUCUUCAUAUUUUUAAUAAUAAAAAAUAAUUUUUGACCCUUAGCAGCUGCUUCAACUUGAAGUUGACCUUCCCAACAUUUCCAACUGACAUUUUGUCCAUCGAUUGUUACAUUCAUCCUCAAAGCAUGCACUGAAGAAGGGAGGCUCAUACUCCACUGGCUGCAAGCCUGCAACAAUUAAGCUCAGGGAUUAUUAAAAAAAAACCACAAUUAAUUAAUUCCAAAUACAAAUGUAGAAACUUAAUUAAGACAUCAGAUAUCAGUUCUAUAAGGGGGUAUCAUCACAUCAUCAUAGUAGAGCGGCUUCACUGAUACAUUACGCUGUAACAAAUUAGGAAUAAUAGAUAUCUCAUUAGUUGAUAAUAAUGUGCCAUAAAUAAUAUUCAAUCAUGUGAAAAUACUUGAAAAAUUAAUCUUCAAAGUGCAAACUGAGACUAUAGCGAGUAUCACUACAGGCAUUUCCAAACCCUUAUUAUAUCUCGGACGCUUUUGCAAUUUACUAAGCAAUUUAGCAGGUGAGGUGCUGAAUGUAUAGUACAGAUGUGACAAGUUAAAUAAAUACAGUCUACACAAAAAUAGAAAGAUAAAUGAAAUUUAAUUAUUGAUGUUGAUUAAAUUAAAUGAAACUGCAUAUAAAGGAAGACAUGUUCCAAUGUCUGUAUAAUCCUCUCAAUAAAUAUCUCAAGAGUAAGAACAUAAAAAAAAAAGAGAAAAUAGAUAUGAAAAUAAAGCCUUAAUUACAGGAAUAUUCUUCAAUCAAAGGCCCUUCAUUUUCAUAAAGAAUUUUCCACACCGAAAAAACGAACUACAUUGCAUGCCUACCGAAAAAUUAAAUAAAAAUUGUUUUUAAUUUCGAAUAGCGAGCCCAAAUUUUCUAUUUCCAGAAGAAAUCUUAUGCUGUUGAAAAGUUUCAUAUUAGGAAUCAUUUACUGCUAGUGUCAGUGAAGUCUCCUUAGUGAUCUGCGGUUUCUUCACUCGUGAUCUACCAGACUUGAAACGAUAAUCAUAUAAUGAGAUAAGUAUUAACUGUUAAUUGAACUGUAGAAUCUCAAAAAUGAGUAAACGGAUUACAAAUUAAUUAUGACGAGUUUGUGUAUCCCUUGGAUUAAAAUAUCAAGAUUUAUUAGGUCUAUAUAAUUAAUUUGAUAUUUUAAUAUCUUCAAUUUGGUAUAUCAGAAUAUUAAGAUUUAUUGGGUCUUUAUCAAGAGCCGUCGCCAAUUGAUCAUUUCAUGGGGUUUGAUACAGCCACAGAACUAAGAUAAAAUUUCAUAGGUAGACUAUUACGGUUACUCCACCAUAAAACAAACGAUAUUUUGAAAAGAAAAUUAAGACUCUGGUAGUUAAUUUGCCUCGUAAUUAAUUAUUGCGGACAAACCAUCACAAAAAUUUUUCAAUUAUUAUUUACUUUUCCAUUUUCUUUAAGGGUGAGACUACUUACAUUUUAAAAAUUACUUUGAAUAUUUUUUAUUUUGAUAAAUUACUUUAUUACAAAAAUACUUAUCAUAUGAAUUACUAAUAAAGACUGUAUCUUUUAUAAACUAAUAUAAUAUUAUUACUCUGAACACUCAUAUAGCAUAGUCAAUAUUCAAUAUAUAAUUUCUUGCUAUAAAUUCUAAAAAUCUCAACCACAAUCUCUUAGAGAAUGUUUAAUUAAACAAGGGGCAAGUCAAUACUUAAAAUAUAUUUAGAACAUUUUUUGCUUUUUAUUUUUUUUUAAAAGUAUGUUUUCGUAGUCUUUUCCUUCUUCUUUUUUUUAGGGGGGGGGGGGGGGGGGGGAAGGGGACUAAAUGGCCCUUUUGUUAGGUUAAAAAGUUGGGGUGUGAAAAUCAAUAUUGUACAUAUUCUUUAAUAGACAAAAACUAAUAAUUAAAAUUUAUGUUAAAGAAUUUGUUUAGAACAAAAUUUGAUUCUAUUGUUGUACAUACUAAAUUGUUAUUAAUUCAUUUUGUACAAAUGCUCGUUUAGUCCCUAUAUUUUAACUUUAGUGCUUAUUUAAUACCUAUAUUUUAAAAAACGCCUCAAGAUACCUAUACUAUUAAAUAUGUUGUACUCUUUUCCUUACUUUUUCUUAGCUUUUACAAUAAUACCCAACAAUAUUUUUUACAUUAAUUGUUUAAUCUAUAAAAAAAGUUACUUAGCAAAUUAACUAAUAAUUAAACAUCAAUAUCAAACAAGCGGUACUUUUUAUACCCUUACAAGAAUCUUGCUGAUCAUUAUUUAUAAAUAAAUUAAUAAUAGCCAAUUUAAAGUAAUGUUUAAUAUCCUUUCAACAACAUUACCAAUAAUGUUUUGUUAAAAAAUUAAUUUACUAAAUUAAUCCUAAAUAUAAAAUAAUAGCAACUAAUUUUUAUUUUACUUUUAUGGCUAAUUUAAUAAAUUUAUUUUUUUCAUUAAUAUCUUUAAGAAUAUUGUUGCAAAGAUAUUAUUAUAAAAGUGAAGAACAAGCUCAAUUAAAAUAAAUAAUGCAAGCUAGUACUAAAUACCUAUUAUAAUUUUAGAAUAGUUUAUUAAAAUAAAAAGGGAAAAGGACAUCUACACAUGCAUUAUUUAUUAUGCAUUACUAAAUACCUAUUUAUUAUACUGUUAAACUUGAGCCGUUCAUCCGUUAUCUAUACAUGCAUUAUUUAUUAUGGUACCUCAGCAUCAUUUUAUCUCCAAGUGCAAAUGCUGAAAAUUAAUUAAGAGGUAAGUAAGGCAUCAGUUAAAUUUGCACCCUACUACCCUGUACUUUUUAUCAAUCAAUACACCUGGUGAGUCCCUAAAAUUUGCACCCUAACAACAACAGCUAGCCACAAUUAGUCAUGAACACCAAAAAGUCCGCGCAGGAUGUGUAAAAUGGACAUGUCUAUGACAUCAUUUUUAUAACUAUAAAAGUAAUAAAAUAUUCUCCUAAAUAUAUUAACCAAUGCGAUUUUGAUUAUUAAAAAAUAUAAUUUCAUUAAAAAUUCAUCGGUCUUACUAAAAUAUGUAAGAAACACGUAAAGUAAUGCACAUAACUUUUUUUUAUUUUUUUAAAGGAGGGGUGCAACAUGAGGACUUCUCAAGAGGUCACUCAUCUUAGUACUGUUCUCGCCCAAGCAUGCUUAACUGCAGAGUUCUGAUGGGAUCCCGUGCAUUAGUGAUGGUAUGGUCGCACCCAAGCAAUGGACAUAACCUUAAUUUUUCAAAUGUUCUUCAUUUUUUUUUAAUCCUUUUGGAUAUCGUGAGAUCUUUAAUAAGGUGGGAAUCAGAGGGGGCCAAGUUCGUUUGGACAGUCCUUCAAAAUAUACUUUUAACUAGUCAAGAAAAAGAUUAGGAGUUGUAAUAUUAACGAAAUUUUAGUAUUGAUAAAUAUGUACGACAGAUUAUUAAUACUAAAUUGAACUUAAAAUGUAUUUAUUAUUACUUUGAUUUUAUUAUAAUUCUAUUUAUUAUAAAACAAUAAACUGAAAUCAAUUUUUGUUCAGAGUCCAACAAUAAAAUAAUCGAAAGGGCCAUUUCCGAGACUAUUUUUUAAACAUUAAGGUCUAUGUCCAUAAUUAAAUAAAUUAUGGAAUAUAAAUAUCCUUUUCCUUCAUAAUUACCGCCAAAUUACUCCCAAUCUCCACGCGCAUUAAAUUUGGUUGGUAUGCUUUGAUCGUCGGUUCGUCUUCAUGUUUACAAUUAUUUACUUUUUGGACCACGUUUGGCACAUGCCGAAAUUGAAUCUUAGCCCUUAAUCUUACCGACUAAUUGUACGAUAAAACUUGAACCGUUGAUGCCUUAUCUAUACUUUGCAACGUCACAAUCACCCCCGUUUGGCACAUGCCGAAAUUGAAUCUUAGCCCUUAAUCUUGCCGGCUAAUUGUACUAGAGAACUUGAACCGUUGAUGCCUUAUCUAUACUCUGCAACGUCACAACUACCCACUUUGGCACCGUAGGCGACUUGAUCUCUAUAUAUCAUGCCAAAUCAGAAGCAAGAACUCGCUCAAGUACUUAUUUUUUAAUAUAGUGCACUCGAAGCUAGCAAAGAUCUUUUCUGACUUGAAGAAUAUGAAAACUCUUGCUGGCGCAGGUAUUUAGGCCUACUUCAGUUUCUUUUUUGAGAAGGGCCAACUUCAGUUGAAUAUCAUUUAUAAUUCUUUUUUUAAUAUAUGCAUUUAUGAAUAUAUUUUUCAAUAUAAAAUUUUUAGGUAUGAGCGAUCCGUCAGAAGGUUUGGUACUCCCUUCCAGUAUUGCUGAUGAUGAUGUUGGAAAUGACAAUCUUGAUCUUAUUGUUAUUCCUCAAUAUGGGAGAAAUCCUGAUUAUUAUGGGUAAGUGUCUGCAAUCUGGAUGAUGAUAUAUGUAAUUAAAUAAAAGGAUGGGUACAGUUAUUACCUAUCAAUCAUAAGAGUGUCAAUUUAGUUCAGUUCACUAAUAAAAAUCUCUUAUACAAGAGAUUAUCUUUGUUUGCGUUCAUGUACUUUGUCUUCUUUAAUUAAUAAAUAAAAUUAUUGUGUAUCAAUGUGUUGAUUAAAUUAGUACAUUAAUAGAUAUAAAAUCAUUUGAAUUUGUCCACA
rnacentral:lncRNA from 1 species